rnacentral:tRNA from 1 species
GCCAGUGUGAUGUAGUGGUUUGAGUGUUGGACUAUGACUCUGGAGACCAGGGUUUGAAUCCCGCUCAGCCA